UACGGGGGGGGCAAGCGUUGUCCGGAUUUACUGGGCGUAAAGAGCGCGCAGGCGGUCGUUCAAGUCGAGUGUGAAAGCCCCCGGCUCAACUGGGGAGGGUCACUCGAUACUGAUCGACUCGAAGGCAGGAGAGGGUAGUGGAAUUCCCGGUGUAGUGGUGAAAUGCGUAGAUAUCGGGAGGAACACCAGUGGCGAAGGCGACUACCUGGCUGUUCUUGACGCUGAGGCGCGAAAGCGUGGGGAGCGAACAGG
rnacentral:rRNA from 1 species